rnacentral:rRNA from 1 species
UACAGAGGGUGCGAGCGUUGUUCGGAAUUAUUGGGCGUAAAGGGCGCGUAGGCGGUGCGGUAAGUCACCUGUGAAAUCUCCUGGCUCAACUGGGAGCUUGCAGGCGAAACUGCCGUGCUGGAGUGUGGGAGAGGUGAGUGGAAUUCCUGGUGUAGCGGUGAAAUGCGCAGAUAUCAGGAGGAACACCGGUGGCGAAGGCGGGUCUCUGGGCAAUAACUGACGCUGAGGAGCGAAAGCGUGGGGAGCGAACAGG